rnacentral:rRNA from 1 species
AAUCAACGCUGGCGGCGUGCCUAACACAUGCAAGUCGAACGAGAAAGGGGAGCAAUCCCUGAGUACAGUGGCGACCGGGUGAGUAACACGUGACUACCUACCCUUGAGUGGGGGAUAACCUCGGGAAACCGAGGCUAAUACCGCAUAAUAUCGCAAGAUCAAAGGAGCAAUCCGCUCUUGGAGGGGGUCGCGGCUGAUUAGCUAGUUGGUAGGGUAAUUGCCUACCAAGGCGACGACGGGGAGCCGGCCUGAGAGGGCGACCGGCCACACCUGGGACUGAGACACGGCCCAGACUCCUACGGGAGGCAGCAGUGGGGAAUCUUGCGCAAUGGGCGAAAGCCUGACGCAGCGACGCCGCGUGAGGGAUGACGGCCU